GAUAUUCCUCCACCUCUUUACAUUUUCCAAACAACAUUUGGACCAAGUCAUCAGUUCCAUACCUCUUGGCUGAAAUUAAAUGAAAUGAACCAUGAGACUUUCAAAUGGCACGAAGAAUGAAAGUUUUAAAAGAUAUAUGUAAAAGUACCAAUGUAAUGGUUCUCUUCUUUGGCUGAUUGGUAUCCUUUGAUUGAUUAAGUGAAGACACUUGACAUCAACUGGUGGUCAAUAUCCAGCAUCUUCUUCCCAAUACUACAAAUACAACCUUCUGGUGCCUGAUGACCACUUAGCCCUUCCUCAUCCUGGUGCUGACCAGUGAUUUCUUGAAGUCUCUAUUACCUGUUGAAUUUAGACACGUACCAGCAUUUGGCAGCAGAAAUUGAACAUCAUCAACAUUAUUGUCCUCCUCUUCCUGCUUCUGGCCAUUUUCUCCAUUUCCUAUGAGAAGACACGUACCAUCAUUUGGCAGCAGAGAUUGCACAUCAUCACCAUUAUUGUCCUCCUCAUCCUGCUUCUGGCCAUUUUCUCCAUUUCCUAUGAGAAGACACGCACCGUCUGGCUGUUGGGAUGGAACUUCAUCAUUUUGGGAUGUGUCGAAUUCCUCUUCCCUCUGGCAGUCUUCUCCGUCUGCUAAGAGAAAGUGAUGUAUAUGUAAGAUGCAAAGUGCAUCAAUAUGAGGUUUGCUUGUAAUGACUGAAUAUUGUAGAAGUACUUCAUUUUUCUACUAGGUAUUUAUUUAGGCAGUCUCCAAAUCACCACAGAAAUUUGUCGAAGCAUACUCAAAAUAUACUAGUAGUGAGAGUUCAAGAAAUUGAUAUAAUUUUCU